UGCCAAUGGUGACAAAACAUUUUAAAGGGGAACUAUGCAGUUUUUUUUUGCUUAAUUUACUUUAACUGAAAAGCUUUGGAGUCAUUGGAACGGUUAUAUGACUUUUUUCGGUUGAAUGGUGGUCGCCUCGCUCCCCCCUAGUGCCUGCGAGCUGAAAAA